AACGAACGCUGGCGGCAGGCCUAACACAUGCAAGUCGACCGAGGACUUCGGUUCUAGCGGCGGACGGGUGAGUAACGCGUGGGAAUGUGCCCUUCUCUACGGAAUAGCCCUGGGAAACUGGGAGUAAUACCGUAUACGCCCUAUUGGGGAAAGAUUUAUCGGAGAAGGAUCAGCCCGCGUUGGAUUAGGUAGUUGGUGGGGUAAUGGCCUACCAAGCCGACGAUCCAUAGCUGGUUUGAGAGGAUGAUCAGCCACACUGGGACUGAGACACGGCCCAGACUCCUACGGGAGGCAGCAGUGGGGAAUCUUAGACAAUGGGGGCAACCCUGAUCUAGCCAUGCCGCGUGAGUGAUGAAGGCCUUAGGGUUGUAAAGCUCUUUCAGCUGGGAAGAUAAUGACGGUACCAGCAGAAGAAGCCCCGGCUAACUCCGUG
rnacentral:rRNA from 1 species